GAAAGGCUUCGGCCGGACAGGGAUGGGCAUGCGGCGCAUUAGGCAGUAGGCGGGGUAACGGCCCACCUAACCGACGAUGCGUAGGGGUUCUGAGAGGAAGGUCCCCCACACUGGUACUGAGACACGGACCAGACUCCUACGGGAGGCAGCAGUGAGGAAUAUUGGUCAAUGGUCGGGAGACUGAACCAGCCAAGCCGCGUGAGGGAUGAAGGUACAGAGUAUCGUAAACCUCUUUUGUCAGGGAACAAAGGCGGGGACGUGUCCCCGGAUGAGUGUACCUGAAGAAAAAGCAUCGGCUAACUCCGUGCCAGCAGCCGCGGUAAUACGGAGGAUGCGAGCGUUAUCCGGAUUUAUUGGGUUUAAAGGGUGCGCAGGCGGUCUGUUAAGUCAGCGGUCAAAGCCCGGGGCUCAACCCCGGCCCGCCGUUGAAACUGGCAGUCUCGAGUUGGAGAGAAGUAUGCGGAAUGCGCGGUGUAGCGGUGAAAUGCAUAGAUAUCGCGCAGAACUCCGAUUGCGAAGGCAGCAUGCCGGCUCCACACUGACGCUGAGGCACGAAAGCGUGGGUAUCGAACAGGAUUAGAUACCCUGGUAGUCCACGCAGUAAACGAUGAAUGCUGGCUGUCCGGGGGGACUGACCCCUGG
rnacentral:rRNA from 1 species